UACGUAGGGUGCGAGCGUUGUCCGGAAUUAUUGGGCGUAAAGAGCUUGUAGGCGGUCUGUCGCGUCUGCCGUGAAAUUUCGGGGCUCAACCCCGAACUUGCGGUGGGUACGGGCAGACUAGAGUGUGGUAGGGGAGACUGGAAUUCCUGGUGUAGCGGUGAAAUGCGCAGAUAUCAGGAGGAACACCGAUGGCGAAGGCAGGUCUCUGGGCCACUACUGACGCUGAGAAGCGAAAGCAUGGGGAGCGAACGGG
rnacentral:rRNA from 1 species